CGGCGGACGGGUGAGUAACACGUGGAUAACCUACCUAUAAGACUGGGAUAACUUCGGGAAACCGGAGCUAAUACCGGAUAAUAUAUUGAACCGCAUGGUUCAAUAGUGAAAGACGGUUUUGCUGUCACUUAUAUAUGGAUCCGCGCCGCAUUAGCUAGUUGGUAAGGUAACGGCUUACCAAGGCAACGAUGCGUAGCCUACCUGAGAGGGUGAUCGGCCACACUGGAACUGAGACACGGUCCAGACUCCUACGGGAGGCAGCAGCG
rnacentral:rRNA from 1 species